AUAUGGUGGAUCACGCACAUAGCACCACCCAUAAAUCAGGGAAUCAGCACACAGCAACCCCUUUUAUAUACAACAUACUACGGCUUAUUCCGAGUGUUCAACCCAUAACCCAUAUAUUGCAACCCUUUAUCACCUUUCCCGAUUUAACAACAUUUUUAGGAUAUUGCCAAACAUUUAUUUUAAUUCCAAAUAAAUCUCAACAUAUAUCAAAUAAUAUCAAAAUAAUACAUUAAGUCACGUGUUUACUUACCUCGGUGCAAAAUAUCGUAAUUUUGCACUUUACUCCCCUAUCUUUUCUUUUCCCCGUUUGAUAUACUCUUCACGUCUUUCUUGAUCUAUAAUAGCAAAUUUAACUCGUUUAAUAUUCACAUUUAUUAAAAUAAUCCACCACCCAACUUUUUGAAAAUUACAAUUUUACCCCCAAACUUUUGCAUAAUUACACUUUUGUCCCCAAGCUCGGAAAUUAAACUUCAUCACUUAUUCUUAAGUUUUAUAACAUGCUGAACAUUUUUCCCUUCUAUAGAAACAUCAAAUUCCCACUCCAACACAUACUUUUGAAUAUUAAUUAUUUUUACCGAUUAUGUCUAUUUACCCGUUUUCGCUUAAAAUUGCUUAGCAAAAGUUGUUUAACAUAAUCUCUAGCUUCAUAUUCCACCAUAAAACAGCAAAAUAAACACAUUUCACCUAUGGAUAUUUUUCCAAAUAUGAACCCUAACAUGAAUUAAUGGUAGAAUAAGCUAAACCAAGUUACCGGGACUCCAAAAAUACGAAGAACAUUAAAAACGGGGCUUAGAAUCACUUACUAUGGAGCUUGAAAGCUUAAAAACCCUAAAUAUGGCUUCCCCCUUGCUGAUUUCGUUCACCAUGAAGAAGAUGAGCAUAUUUUGCCAUCUUUUUCCCAUUUAAUUCUAUUUAAUAACCAAAUGACUAAAAUGCCCCCAUUUAAAAAAAAUCUAUUUCACCCAUUUCUUAUGUCUAUUUUUGUCCAUCAACUAACUAAUGGUCUAAUUACCACAUAAAGACCUCCAAUUUAAAAUUUCAUAACAAUUAGACACCUCUAAGAUGUAGAACUCAACUUUUGCACUAUUUACAAUUUAGUCCUUUUGACUAAAUUGAGUGCCCAAACGUCGAAAUUUUCGAACGAAAUUUUUACGAAAAUUUUCCGUGAAAUUGUAGAUCAUAAAAAUAUAAUAAUAACCAUAUUUUCCCUCGUCGGAUUUGUGGUCCCGAAACCACUAUUCCGACUAGGCCCAGAAUCGGGCUGUUACAUAUUUCAUGUUGACCAAUUUUUAAUAAUAGAAGUAGAUAAAAUUUUUAAUUAAAGGAUAAAUUUACUUUUUGAUUUGACGUACUAAAAUUAUUUUUUUUCUAGGGUGAAUUACAAUAUUUCAUUUGUUUUAAAGUCAACAACUGAAACCUAUUUUUUUUUCCUUUGUACUGCUUUUCAAUGUCAUCCUUUUCCCUUAAAAAAAGUUAAAUAUUUGAAAUGGAAAAUGACACGACUAUGAAAUUCUAGAAGAUAUUUAAUUAAUUGGAUAUCAAAUUUGGAAAAGUAGGAAUAAUAUGUCCUUCACAAUAUCAUCUUGGAACACAAAUAAUAUCAAUAAGGAAUAGUUUUAUUCAAAUUCAUUGCUGAGACAAGAAAAAAAUAAUAAUAAAAGGAGAAAUACUUUCCACUGAAAAAAAGUAAGUUAUUUUGGUUAACAAAGUGAUAUUCUCAAAGCCUUUUUGUCAUCCUUAGUUGAUUCCAAUAUUCAUUUUUUUUAUCAUCAAUAAAAUUAAUAAUUAAUCUAAUCUAAUAUUUGUUAAUACAAAUAACUCACAUUUAAUUUAAGUUUAAUUUUUUAAAGAAAUUAUUUUAUGUAAUGAGAUUUAAAUGAUUUAUCAUCUCAUUUAUUGGGUUAAUAUAUAUUUUAACCCUACAAUUUGGCACCAUAGAAAGCGCUAAGUAAUUUGAUUUUUUAUUGGUAUUUAAUUAUUUUUUUAUUAAUUUAAAACACGUGACGUAAGAUGAUGGGUUGAAAUUGUAAAAAUUAACGAAGUUAAUCAUGUAUCAAUAAAAUGUAUCAAUUUGAUUAACGAUUUUUAAAUUUAAGUACCAAUUAAAUAAAAAGAAAUGUACCAACUAAGUAGAAGCUAUCAAGUUCUGAAAGCAUAAGUCUAUUAUAGACCUUGAUGCUUGAAAAUCAAACUUAUAAUAAAAGAAAAAGAAACAUAAGAUCAUAAUACAGAAAACAAAAGAAAAUACAACUAUGGUAAAUCACUAAAAAAACACAUGUAUUUUAGUAACCAAGCUAGUAUAUUUGCUGAAAAAUUAUUCAAAAUUACUUACUAUUGAGACUUUGCCCACUUUGGGCCGGGUUUGCUGAACAAUUUGACAUUCGAUCAAAUCGUUGGCACUUGCUACGAACUUGAGAGUUGGGAUAGUUGACAAACAUACCAUCUCGCAUAGUUGGUGGUGGUUGGAAUUUGAUGAUAAACUCCGGCAUCGGGUUGUUGGACAACGGUAACAGCUUGCGGUCCAUGAUAAAUGUAUUGGUUCGGAACUGCAGAUCGAUAAACCGUUGCGCCUCCGACUUGCCGACCUUUUGAUUCCGACGCAACCUUGAUAAGAUGACCUAUUGAACAUGCCAUGGAGCUUAGUAUUUCUUUUCGUUUGGUGUUGUUUUUUUUGCCCUUUCUUAUAUGGUUACUUAGAGGCUUAGGCAUCAAUAUUUAUAUAGGAAGUCUAGGAUAUCUAGCUGAAGCUUUUUAAUUUCCCAUUUU
rnacentral:lncRNA from 1 species